GGGGGAGGACUGACUGAAGAAAUGCCAUGGAUAGAUCAGUGCUGGGCAGGGGCAGUAGAGUGCAAGGGUGAGCUGCUGGCUGACCACUGCCAGGCUUGGGCCUUGCUACGUGGGCUCAGAGGAUGCUAGGGCUACGGGGGAAGUGGCCCAGGGAAAUAGGCAGCAAGUUGGAGGAGGGCAGUAGGUGAUGACUGGCUAUAGGGUCCCGGGUCAGGACCCAGAGUAGUGCGGGGGCCUGGGUUAUCCCCCUUUCAUCCCACUUGCCAGUGAGGAGAAUGGCUGGUAUCCGGACUGCAGUUUGCCCCUGAGGUGAGGGGCUGGACUUUGGACUGCAGUUGGCCACUGACGCAAGUGGGGGGACUAAGGUCUGCCAGUCCCCAGGAAGGGGGAGAUACCAGAGUGGAGGCACAGCUGGAAGACUGUGCUCAGAAGAGGACACUGUGGUCUGGGGAGUGAUGCAGGUCCAGAGAGUGGAGAUAGCAGUGACAGCUGGCAUGUUGAAGGCAGACUGGAAGGGCCAUGAGCUAAUUCCCAGGAUGGCCAGCAGAAGGCACCUCAGUGGUGCCUGAAACAAAUCCUUAGUAUCAGAUGGCCAGAAAAAUCACAAAUGACGUGCUUUGGAGGAGGAUGGAACAGAAACAACAGGAGAGGAAAUUAUGGAAUGAAAAUGGAGUUGGCCAGAUUACACAUGAAGGAAAGAUCUGAAGACCAUAACAAGACGAGCAUUAGACUGAAAUCCUCAGGGUUAGAGGGGCCGAGGUUGACCAAGGGCAACAUGGAAACACACAACUGAAGCAGAAUUAAAGCUAAGAGUGCAGCAGAAGCUCAUUGAAGAGGGAAGGCACUAGUGAAGGCCUUGUGCUCUGUAUGGAAUAAAGAAGGAUGCAGCCAUGUGUUCCAUGUAGGUGAUUCACAAGCAAGACCCACAGGAGGUGGGGCUCCGAGUCUAUUUAAACAAGGAUUGCCUUCCCAACAUUUGCAUCUCAGUGGGAUGCCGUAGCAAAGGCAUUGUUCAUAAACAUGUACAGAAGACCAAGUGGCUGCCUUGCAAAUGUUCAAAAUGGGAACCAACUUCUGCUGGUGCGAGAGACAAGCCGUGAAACUUGCACUGACUGGGAUGGAGCAGGGCCACCUUUAUAUGGCCAGGGGAGGGGCUAAGACCACAAGUGCUGCCCUUACGGGGUACUGCUAAACAAAAGUUCUCUGGCUCCAGCAUGCUGGGCACCUACACCUACACGCACACCUACCGGGAAUCUGCAUCUACUCAAAGAAGAAAUUGUCUCCUCUAAGGUUGAGAUUUUAAUUGUGUGGGUCUAGAUUGUGGCUUUUAUGACAUAGCCCUGUGAAAGAAGCAGUGCACAGCCCCACCAUGCCCAGAGGAGCACUAGGGGAUUGUGCAUUAGAGGUGCAAAAAUCUCUCCCAGGGCUGUUCCCUGUCCCGAGAGAAUGAGUAAUCUGUUCCAUCCAUUAAAAUGGAGUUCAUUGCCUCCCUGGGGUGCCAGCCCCAUUACAACCUUAAUCAGUGCCUCUCCAUAAUUAAAUCUUUCAUUUUUGUGCUUUAACCCAUCUGAUUACAUCAAGAUGAUUUUUACAAAGUUCCUGAAAAGCAGUGAUCAUUAAUAUAAAUAAACUGUCUACUACUGUGAAUGAGUGUCCAUCGUUAUGGUUGACGAUAAUCCCGGUGGUUGCACAUUCUUCCAUGCACCUACCAUUAGGGUAGCACUAAACACUGAUGUCACGGAGGUGAGGUGCUGCAUACCCACAUGUGCUUCAUGUGUGUGCAUCUGCCGCUCUGGUAUCAUCACUAGUGACAUUACACUGAUCCA